GAGUGCGAAUCUCGAAAGCCUGUCUCAGUUCGGAUUGGAGGCUGAAACCCGCCUCCAUGAAGUUGGAUUCGCUAGUAAUCGCGCAUCAGCCAUGGCGCGGUGAAUACGUUCCCGGGCCUUGUACACACCGCCCGUCAAGCCAUGGGAGCCGGGGGUGCCUGAAGUUCGUGACCGCAAGGAGCGACCUAGGGCAAAACUGGUGACUGGGGCUAAGUCGUAACAAGGUAAC
rnacentral:rRNA from 1 species